rnacentral:sRNA from 1 species
UAUUCAUCCCAUGCGGGAAGGAUGAGAAGCUUCGACUAAGGUUCGAUUCGAGCGAAGCAAGAAAGCGUUGCCGCAGGCAACGACCCGAAGGGCGAGGCGCAACGCGCCGAGUAAUCCUUCCCCCACCCUCA